rnacentral:rRNA from 1 species
AAUCAACGCUGGCGGCGUGCCUAACACAUGCAAGUCGAACGCGAGAGGGGCUUCGGCCCCGAUUGAGUGGCGAACGGGUGAGUAACGCGUGGGUGACCUACCUUCGAGUGGGGGAUAACGUCCCGAAAGGGACGCUAAUACCGCAUAACAUCCUGCUUUUGAAUGGGUGGAGAUCAAAGCCGGGGAUCGCAAGACCUGGCGCUUGAUGAGGGGCCCGCGUCUGAUUAGCUAGUUGGGAGGUAACGGCCCACCAAGGCAACGAUCAGUAUCCGGCCUGAGAGGGCGGACGGACACACUGGGACUGAGACACGGCCCAGACUCCUACGGGAGGCAGCAGUGGGGAAUUGUUCGCAAUGGGCGCAAGCCUGACGACGCAACGCCGCGUGGAGGAUGAAGGUCUUCGGAUUGUAAACUCCUGUUGCCCGGGACGAAUGGCUCCGACCUAACACGUCGGAGUGUGACGGGUACCGGGUGAGGAA